rnacentral:rRNA from 1 species
UGCAAGUCGAGCGGACAGAAGGGAGCUUGCUCCCGGAUGUUAGCGGCGGACGGGUGAGUAACACGUGGGUAACCUGCCUGUAAGACUGGGAUAACUCCGGGAAACCGGAGCUAAUACCGGAUAGUUCCUUGAACCGCAUGGUUCAAGGAUGAAAGACGGUUUCGGCUGUCACUUGCAGAUGGACCCGCGGCGCAUUAGCUAGUUGGUGAGGUAACGGCUCACCAAGGCGACGAUGCGUAGCCGACCUGAGAGGGUGAUCGGCCACACUGGGACUGAGACACGGCCCAGACUCCUACGGGAGGCAGCAGUAGGGAAUCUUCCGCAAUGGACGAAAGUCUGACGGAGCAACGCCGCGUGAGUGAUGAAGGUUUUCGGAUCGUAAAGCUCUGUUGUUAGGGAAGAACAAGUGCAAGAGUAACUGCUUGCACCUUGACGGUACCUAACCAGAAAGCCACGGCUAACUACGUGCCAGCAGCCGCGGUAAUACGUAGGUGGCAAGCGUUGUCCGGAAUUAUUGGGCGUAAAGGGCUCGCAGGCGGUUUCUUAAGUCUGAUGUGAAAGCCCCCGGCUCAACCGGGGAGGGUCAUUGGAAA